rnacentral:rRNA from 1 species
GAUGAACGCUGACAGAAUGCUUAACACAUGUAAGUCUACUUGAACUUCGGUUUGGGUGGCGGACGGGUGAGUAACGCGUAAAGAACUUGCCUCACAGUUAGGGACAACAUUUGGAAACGAAUGCUAAUACCUGAUAUUAUGAUUUUAGGGCAUCCUAAGAUUAUGAAAGCUAUAUGCGCUGUGAGAGAGCUUUGCGUCCCAUUAGCUAGUUGGAGAGGUAACGGCUCACCAAGGCGAUGAUGGGUAGCCGGCCUGAGAGGGUGAACGGCCACAAGGGGACUGAGACACGGCCCUUACUCCUACGGGAGGCAGCAGUGGGGAAUAUUGGACAAUGGACCAAAAGUCUGAUCCAGCAAUUCUGUGUGCACGAUGACGUUUUUCGGAAUGUAAAGUGCUUUCAGUUGGGAAGAAAAAAAUGACGGUACCAACAGAAGAAGUGACGGCUAAAUACGUGCCAGCAGCCGCGGUAAUACGUAUGUCACAAGCGUUAUCCGGAUUUAUUGGGCGUAAAGCGCGUCUAGGUGGUUAUGUAAGUCUGAUGUGAAAAUGCAGGGCUCAACUCUGUAUUGCGUUGGAAACUGCAUGACUAGAGUACUGGAGAGGUAAGCGGAACUACAAGUGUAGAGGUGAAAUUCGUAGAUAUUUGUAGGAAUGCCGAUGGGGAAGCCAGCUUACUGGACAGAUACUGACGCUAAAGCGCGAAAGCGUGGGUAGCAAACAGG